UGAUCGAAAAUCGGAACUGGGUGUAGAU
rnacentral:sRNA from 1 species